rnacentral:rRNA from 1 species
AUACGGAGGGUGCAAGCGUUGUCCGGAUUUAUUGGGUUUAAAGGGUGUGUAGGCGGUGUAUUAAGUCAGUGGUGAAAGCCUGCGGCUCAACCGUAGAACUGCCAUUGAUACUGACACACUUGAGUAUGGACGAGGUAGGCGGAAUUUAUGGUGUAGCGGUGAAAUGCAUAGAUACCAUAAAGAACACCGAUAGCGAAGGCAGCUUACUAAGCCGAAACUGACGCUGAGGCACGAAAGCGUGGGGAGCGAACAGGAUUAGAAACCCCAGUAGUCC